GCUGCGCGCGUGCGCAAUUGCGCACUGCUGACACGGUCUCCGCGCACAGAAAAUCUGCUGCGCACAAAAAAAAAAUCCAACCUAAAUUGUAAAUAAAAUAAACAGGUAACAAUUCAUUCUGUGCUAUUUUUCAGUGUGAAUCAGUGAGUGACCGGUGACUGGCUGCUGCAGCCAAUGAUGCGAUUCACAUACGUAUUUACCAUAGACUGUAUAUAAUGGUAUUUACGCAGCUAAUCUACGUCAGGCGUCCUUAUGUGCAGCCACCGUUGUUCUCAUAGAUAUGAAUGAGUAGAUAGGACACGCCCCUUUGAGCUGCGUGCUACAGCGAGGCUAAGCUAGUGGGGGCAAAGUUUCAGUGCAUUCCGUUGAUGUAGACGGCGUGAAAACGGAAACAACAAGUAUGCCGGCUCACUGUGCUGCAUACAGUUACACACUACGUCGUACGAUUGAGACAAGGAAACUUGGAAUGACUUUUCAUAGGUUUCCCAGAGACUAUGGGUUGAGGAGGAAUUGGAAGUUUGUCGGCUUAGACCUGGUGUCAUUCCAUCAGUGUUAAACUUCCCGGUUCAUCUUGGAAGAGUACGUGCCAGAAAGACCACGACCAAGCAGCCUUGAGAUCUUAGGCAGCGUCUCCCUGAGGUCCCUCUCUAUCUCCCCACACAUCCACCAACCACUGGAACACAUCUCCAAAGUUCUGCUGGGCCAGCUCAGCUUCCCCUCAGAAGAAGUGGCGCCACCUGCCAGAUGAAGGAGCUUUUUGAGAGGCAGCUGGCAUCGUGAUUGGACUGUACUUUGGUCUGUUCCAAUCCAGCUUCAGCUCCAGAGACGGCAGGCGGGACGAGUCAACGGAGGCCUGGUGGACGAAGGCAUGCAGCUGAGUACAAUCCAGAAAACAACAGAGGAGGAGUGCAGCAGCCCAGAGCCAGAACAACCAGAGUAGCAUCGUAUGUCCCUUAGAAAACAUCAUAGUAGAGCCUUUGGGAUGAAAAAACACCAUCAUAUACAUCGUAUAUUGUACAAAUAAGUCAAAGGAAAGAGACAUACAUUGUAGAAUUGUAGUAAUUGUGGGCUGACUGAUUUACUGAUUAUCAGUAUUUUAUUUUUUACUGAUUUAUGGUAAUAAAUCAAUUUAAAAUGGU